rnacentral:rRNA from 1 species
GAUGAACGCUGGCGGCGUGCCUAAUACAUGCAAGUCGAGCGAACAGACGAGGAGCUUGCUCCUCUGACGUUAGCGGCGGACGGGUGAGUAACACGUGGAUAACCUACCUAUAAGACUGGGAUAACUUCGGGAAACCGGAGCUAAUACCGGAUAAUAUGUUGCAUCGCAUGGUUCAACAGUGAAAGACGGUCUUGCUGUCACUUAUAGAUGGAUCCGCGCCGCAUUAGCUAGUUGGUAAGGUAACGGCUUACCAAGGCAACGAUGCGUAGCCGACCUGAGAGGGUGAUCGGCCACACUGGAACUGAGACACGGUCCAGACUCCUACGGGAGGCAGCAGUAGGGAAUCUUCCGCAAUGGGCGAAAGCCUGACGGAGCAACGCCGCGUGAGUGAAGAAGGUCUUCGGAUCGUAAAACUCUGUUAUUAGGGAAGAACAAAUGUGUAAGUAACUAUGCACGUCUUGACGGUACCUAAUCAGAAAGCCACGGCUAACUACGUG